CAUAGCCUUUGUACGUCGUUCCUAGAACAGCAAACCUUCUCCUUGGGUUCUUCAAAGUAUGCCUUUUCUUAUCCCGAAGAGGUUCAGUCUCAGAGAUUGACCAACACACACACAGUCGGGACUUAGAUGUAUUGAUACAAAAGAACUGAUCGUCUAAAUCAAUAUAGUUAGGCUGUCAAUCCCCUUCCAGUCCAUACAUUUGAACAUUUAUAUUUGCUGUUUUAUACAGCAGAGUAAUGUCUCAGUAAUGUACUCUUGUCGAUUGAAGGUACUGUGUUCCAGCCCUUAACGUUCCCACGUGAUUUUUUUAUCCAGAAGCAGUGUAGUCUAAGUACCCGAAAACUAAUUGUCCAUUUCUAUAUUACUUAUCACUAUUUGGUGAAGCAUUUUGCUUUAAAUUUAGGCAGCAUCUAGUUUCCAUCUGCCAGCAACUCCUUUUGAACUUUAGUUUUUUCGCACUUACAAAAGUCCCCUACCCGCUUUUGUUUAUAUGCGUCAGCCUAGACGUUAGAAGAUGCUUUUUGGCAUCAAUGACUGACGGAAAGUCGUGCUGAGGCACCUUCAAUACAAGAACAGAUUGUUGUAUAUUUUCUUAAUUAUAGUUUGUUACAAGUGUAAGGAAAAUUAUGUUUAAUAGGAGGGAGAAAAUAAUAAAGAGAACACGUAAGGUGUGUCUCUGGUCAAAGAUAGAACACAGAGAGGGGAGAACACUUUUCGCUCUUUUCAGUGCGCUGUGCUUGGAACAUUCUCUCUGCCAAAUUGCAGCGGUAGGAACACCUCUGGUUCCCCAUCACACUGGGACUUUGACAAUAAUGAUGAGUGUUUGAUCAGCAUAACCAAAAUCUCAAAAUUAGUUCUCUAAUUAGUUUGAGAUCUGUGGAAGAAGUAAGCGUUGACUUCCCUACAACGAAACCCCAAUCAGAAAAUGUGAUCUUAGAAAGUAUAUUUUCAGCUACUCUGUACUAAUACUGAGUGAUUUGAAUAUCCAGCAGGUGCCCUCAGUUCCAAAGGCGUAUGUAGACUUCCCUGCGUAGCAAUCCCCGGUAGGAAAUUAUGCGGGUUCAGUAAAAGCUUGAACUCCCGGAAGACGUUCGACACCUUCUGUGACUAUCAGGUUGCUGUCUGCAUGAAGAACUUAGAUUACAAAGUGAUUAACGGCGGCCCUUGCCUCGAGGACAGCAGCUCCCAGAAAAAGAAUUGAUAGUGAAGUAAUUUAUUAGAUAAUUGAAUGUUCCAGCUAAAUUAAACGUAAAGAAUAUUCAGUUAA